rnacentral:rRNA from 1 species
AACGAACGCUGGCGGCAUGCCUAACACAUGCAAGUCGAACGAGACCUUCGGGUCUAGUGGCGCACGGGUGCGUAACGCGGGGGAACCUGCCCGUAGGUUCGGAAUAACUCCCCGAAAGGGGUGCUAAUAACGGAUAAUGUCUUCGGACCAAAGAUUUAUCGCCUUUGGGUGGGCCCGCGUUGGAUUAGCUAGUUGGUAGGGUAAAAGCCUACCAAGGCGACGAUCCAUAGCUGGUCUGAGAGGAUGAUCAGCCACACUGGGACUGAGACACGGCCCAGACUGCUACGGGAGGCAGCAGUGGGGAAUAUUGGACAAUGGGCGAAAGCCUGAUCCAGCAAUGCCGCGUGAGUGAUGAAGGCCUUAGGGUUGUAAAGCUCUUUUACCCGGGAUGAUAAUGACAGUACCGGGAGAAUAAGCUCCGGCUAACUCCGUG